rnacentral:rRNA from 1 species
UACGUAGGGGGGCAAGCGUUGUCCGGAAUCAUUGGGCGUAAAGCGCGUGUAGGCGGUUCGGUAAGUCUGCUGUGAAAGUCCAGGGCUCAACCCUGGGAUGCCGGUGGAUACUGUCGGGCUAGAGUGCGGAAGAGGCGAGUGGAAUUCCCGGUGUAGCGGUGAAAUGCGCAGAUAUCGGGAGGAACACCAAUUGCGAAGGCAGCUCGCUGGGACGUCACUGACGCUGAG